GAUGAACGCUGGCGGCGUGCCUAAUACAUGCAAGUCGAGCGAACAGACGAGGAGCUUGCUCCUCUGACGUUAGCGGCGGACGGGUGAGUAACACGUGGAUAACCUACCUAUAAGACUGGGAUAACUUCGGGAAACCGGAGCUAAUACCGGAUAACAUGUUGAACCGCAUGGUUCAACAGUGAAAGACGGUCUUGCUGUCACUUAUAGAUGGAUCCGCGCCGCAUUAGCUAGUUGGUAAGGUAACGGCUUACCAAGGCAACGAUGCGUAGCCGACCUGAGAGGGUGAUCGGCCACACUGGAACUGAGACACGGUCCAGACUCCUACGGGAGGCAGCAGUAGGGAAUCUUCCGCAAUGGGCGAAAGCCUGACGGAGCAACGCCGCGUGAGUGAUGAAGGUCUUCGGAUCGUAAAACUCUGUUAUUAGGGAAGAACAUAUGUGUAAGUAACUGUGCACAUCUUGACGGUACCUAAUCAGAAAGCCACGGCUAACUACGUG
rnacentral:rRNA from 1 species